rnacentral:rRNA from 1 species
UACGUAGGGGGCAAGCGUUGUUCGGAUUCACUGGGCGUAAAGGGUGCGUAGGUGGCGGGGUAAGUCGGAUGUGAAAGCUCGGAGCUCAACUCCGAAAUGGCAUUGGAAACUACCUUGCUCGAGGGUUGGAGGGGGGACUGGAAUGCUUGGUGUAGCAGUGAAAUGCGUAGAUAUCAAGCGGAACACCAGUGGCGAAGGCGAGUCCCUGGACAACUCCUGACACUGAGGCACGAAAGCUAGGGGAGCAAACAGG